AAGAGGAGUGUCAAAAUCGGUAGAAGGCAGGACUGCUCCCCGACGAUUGGCAAGCUUCAGGAUGUCGGUAAGCUUUUGUCGUAGAGGCCAGCAAAAGGAGAAUAUGUGGGUAGAACUUUAGAAAAUUUAUGGUGCCCUUUUACUCUGCUUGAGUGCAAAGAUCUUGUUAGAAAUCACUUUCUAUCCACUUUCCAUGAUGAGAGUAACAAGAAGAAAGCUCUCGAUAGUGGGCCGUGGUGUUUCAACAAGGAUCUGAUAGUGAUUGAAAAAUGUGUGCCAAGUAAAACAAUUGAUGAAUAUGAAUUUAAUUUUAUUCCUAUCUGGGUCAGAGUUUAUGGUAUUCUCAUGGGCAUGAUAAGUUCCAAAACAGGAGAAUUGAUUGGGAAGAAUAUUGCAGAAGUACUUGACAUUGACCUUGAUCAUGAUGGAACUGCGAUGGGCGAGUUUAUGAGAAUUAAGGUACGGAUGGAUAUCACAGUGUGA
rnacentral:rRNA from 1 species